rnacentral:lncRNA from 1 species
UGUCCAUGAUAGAGGAGAACCACUAUGUAUAUGUCAAGAAGACAGAGAAUGGUAUUUUCUUUCUCUCUCUAUACGUCGACGAUAUACUAUUGGCUGGAAAUGACAUGGAGUUAAUCAAUACCACUAAGGAGUGGUUUGUUAAGGAUUUUAUAGGUUGGCGAAUUUCGUAAAGUUGUUUGGAGUCUUGAAGAGUUGAUCGCAGAAGUUAUUCAAAUUGGAGAACGAAGACUCAUUCGGAAAGCUCGACACCUAAGGUAUGAAGAAAAGAUCAUUUGUGGUGAAGAUACCUAAUUAGAAUAAGUUCAGAAGGCUUAG